rnacentral:rRNA from 1 species
CCUAGGGGUGGCUGCAGUGGGGAAUAUUGGACAAUGGGCGAAAGCCUGAUCCAGCCAUGCCGCGUGUGUGAAGAAGGCCUUCGGGUUGUAAAGCACUUUCAGUGGGGAAGAAAGCCUUGGGGCUAAUACCCUCGAGGAAGGACAUCACCCACAGAAGAAGCACCGGCUAACUCCGUGCCAGCAGCCGCGGUAAUACGGAGGGUGCGAGCGUUAAUCGGAAUUACUGGGCGUAAAGCGCGCGUAGGCGGUCUGAUAAGCCGGUUGUGAAAGCCCCGGGCUCAACCUGGGAACGGCAUCCGGAACUGUCAGGCUAGAGUGCAGGAGAGGAAGGUAGAAUUCCCGGUGUAGCGGUGAAAUGCGUAGAGAUCGGGAGGAAUACCAGUGGCGAAGGCGGCCUUCUGGACUUACACUGACGCUGAGGUGCGAAAGCGUGGGUAGCAAACAGGAUUAGAUACCCGUGUAGUC